rnacentral:rRNA from 1 species
ACGGAGGGUGCAAGCGUUGUUCGGAUUUAUUGGGCGUAAAGCGCGUGUAGGCGGUUUGUUAAGUCUGAUGUGAAAGCCCUGGGCUCAACCUGGGAAGUGCAUUGGAAACUGGCAGACUUGGAUACGGGAGAGGGUAGUGGAAUUCCUAGUGUGGGAGUGAAAUCCGUAGUUAUUAGGAGGAGCACCGAUGGCGUGGGCGGAUACCUGGAUCAAUAUCGACGCUGAGUCGGCAAAGCGUCGCGAGCACAAAG